CGUUCUGUGGCGAAAUUGGUUAACGCACCAUGCCUAUCGAAUUGAAGAGACGUGGGUUCAAAUCCUAGCAGAACGA
rnacentral:tRNA from 1 species